UUUGGCUUCAUGAUGCAGAUGGAAAAAACAGGCAGAGAGACCUUCAGUCUCAAGGAUGCAGUCACACUAAGUCUGUUGGAGCACAGCGCCUGUCCCUGGGGCCAGGAAGAUGGAUCUGUUGAAGUGUUGGCCACAUAAGCAUGAGGACCUGAGUUCAUGUCCCCUGGACCUAUGUGAAAAGCCAGGCAUGGCGGUGGCAGGUUCACGGUGGAUCCAGCAAUGACUUGUGGUUCAGCAGACUUAAAAUAAUGAGUAUUUUAAAUGGACCGUGUUUUAUCCCCACAUCACACAACUCAGUUCAUAACAUAAAUA